CUUUCAGUUACUGCAGUCUAGUGUUUUUGCCCCUUUUUGGCCAGCUGCUAGAGAACCUCCUUAGAAGUUGUUCUAUGAGGACUUACACAAUCAAGUAAUCUUUGCCUAUAAUGGCUACCUUCCUCUGAGCUCUCAUGAGACAAUCUUAGUCAUGUCUGAAACUUUUCACUUUGGCCAUGGAGUUUGCUGGGAUUGGCCUCGUCAGCCAUGAAGCAGGGAGGAGCUCCCCUUUCCUGGAACCAGAGGUUGGUGGACUGCAUUUGGAAGAAUGUCUGUGGUGUGAUUCAAAUUGAAAUCCAGUUUUGUGU